rnacentral:rRNA from 1 species
GAUGAACGCUAGCUACAGGCUUAACACAUGCAAGUCGCGGGGCAGCAUGGGGGUUGCUUGCACUCCCCGAUGGCGACCGGCGCACGGGUGAGUAACGCGUAUCCAACCUGCCCUUCACCACGGGAUAACCCGGCGAAAGUCGGACUAAUACCGUAUGUUGUCCAUUGACGGCAUCCGAUUUGGACGAAAGGCUUGGCGGUGAGGGAUGGGGAUGCGUCCGAUUAGCCAGACGGCGGGGUAACGGCCCACCGUGGCUACGAUCGGUAGGGGUUCUGAGAGGAAGGUCCCCCACACUGGAACUGAGACACGGUCCAGACUCCUACGGGAGGCAGCAGUGAGGAAUAUUGGUCAAUGGGCGUAAGCCUGAACCAGCCAAGUAGCGUGCAGGAUGACGGCCCCAUGGGUUGUAAACUGCUUUUAUGCGGGGAUAAAGUGGCCCACGUGUGGGCUUUUGCAGGUACCGCAUGAAUAAGGACCGGCUAAUUCCGUG